ACUAAUUUGGCAGAUAAGUGCGGUGGAUUUAGAAUCUAUAUAUGUGAUUUAGUGAGCACAUUUAGUA
rnacentral:tRNA from 1 species